GAUCCAGACUUUGAUCAUGGCUCAGGAUAAACGCUGGCGGCGCACAUAAGACAUGCAAGUCGAACGAACUUAACCAUUAGUUUACUAUUGGAGCGGUUAGUGGCGGACUGGUGAGUAACACGUAAGCAACCUGCCUAUCAGAGGGGAACAACAGUUAGAAAUGACUGCUAAUACCGCAUAUGCCUUGAGUAUCACAUGGUACAAAAGGGAAAGGAGCAAUCCGCUGAUAGAUGGGCUUGCGUCUGAUUAGAUAGUUGGUGAGGUAACGGCCCACCAAGUCGACGAUCAGUAGCCGGACUGAGAGGUUGAACGGCCACAUUGGGACUGAGAUACGGCCCAGACUCCUACGGGAGGCAGCAGUCGGGAAUAUUGCGCAAUGGAGGAAACUCUGACGCAGUGACGCCGCGUGCAGGAAGAAGGUUUUCGGAUUGUAAACUGCUUUAGACAGGGAAGAAACAAGACAGUACCUGUAGAAUAAGCUCCGGCUAACUACGUGCCAGCAGCCGCGGUAAUACGUAGGGAGCAAGCGUUAUCCGGAUUUAUUGGGUGUAAAGGGUGCGUAGACGGGAGAGCAAGUUAGUUGUGAAAUCCCUCAGCUCAACUGAGGAACUGCAACUAAAACUACUAUUCUUGAGUGCUGGAGAGGAAAGUGGAAUUCCUAGUGUAGCGGUGAAAUGCGUAGAUAUUAGGAGGAACACCAGUGGCGAAGGCGACUUUCUGGACAGUAACUGACGUUGAGGCACGAAAGUGUGGGGAGCAAACAGGAUUAGAUACCCUGGUAGUCCACACCGUAAACGAUGGAUACUAGGUGUAGGGUGUGAUAAACAUUCUGUGCCGUCGCAAACGCAGUAAGUAUCCCACCUGGGGAGUACGGAAGCAGGGUUGCAACUCAAAGGAAUUGACGG
rnacentral:rRNA from 1 species